UAAAGUUGUAAAGUUCCUCUUUCAGACCUUGUGAUUUUUAAAAAAAGCUUAUGUCAAUUGUGUGUCUGUCUUUCUGGUACAAAUUAUUAGUCAAGAACAAAAGUCAGUGACACGAAGACGAUGAGGUACCGUCGUAGUUCUGACCCAUAUACUAUGCCACCUGGCCAUCCGCAGAAGUUGCUUCGAUGACUCUGGGGGCGGUCUCCAAUAAGCCUCGGGUUCCU
rfam:Biomphalaria glabrata isolate BB02 linkage group LG11 unlocalized genomic scaffold LG11_random_Scaffold4504, whole genome shotgun sequence.